UUUUAAUUGUCAACAUUUUAGAAGCUCCAGCCUCACAGUCAUCACCAGAUAUACUAACACCAGCCAAUGACACGCCAAGUACUUCACUAAAUCUGACCCUCCCUGCCUUCAUGGAAAUGCACACUUAGAAUUACAGAACCCUCUGUGGAAGCGGUGGUCUGACACAAGCAUUUCUGGAUGACGCUGAACCUGCUUACAACUCCCUGCUGCUGUCAGGCAGAACAUUCUCCAAACCGCAUGAAUUUGGAAGUCUGGACACUUCAGGCAUCAUCAGGUUUAUGGUUUUGUCAUAACCCUGCUGAAAGUCCUUUACCAUCUCCAGGCCUCCAUUUAUUUUCUAUAAAAUAAGGAGUUUGGAAUGGCACUGUGUUGAUAUUCUCCAGUUUUGUGAAACAUCGUACUCAACAAUCGCGAGCAGGCAUUUUACAGACCUUGCUUUCCUAGACCUGCUCAAGUAGAACAUUCAGCAGCUUAGCGACAUCAGAGACAAUUGAAGCAAAGGGCCCACUUAUGGCUGACAGCUGACCCUGCAGCCCAGCUGGGAAGCCCCUGAGACGACCCGGGUCCAGCCAUCAGGGAAGGGAACCAGCGUGGCCCCAGGAGGGCUUUAGGCUGAGGCUUCUCCCAGGAUGUGGAGGCUCAGCACUUUGCACAAAUUGGAUUCAUGCCAAAGGAAACUGAAAGCCUGCCUUUCUUUUUUUCCCAGUGCACAUCUCAGAUUAUUUGGCCUUUGUCCGAGGACUGAAAACAGUUCUGUGUCCAAGUAUGUUUUUAAUACCUGAUAUUUAUUUCACAAAAAAGCUGAAAUUGCUUUGUGUGUCCAGGCUUGAAUGUUUAAGGCAUACUUGAUUAAUACAUGUGUGCUGAGCGCUUCCUGGGGCUCCUAGACACUGCCAAAGGUAGCUCAGUGGGGAAAUUCAAGGCAAUUUUCCCCUUAACUUUUGCUACUUCUGACCAUUUUCCACUUAUGUUAUUAUGCUUCUGUAUCCAUCUGUCUGCCUAUGUCUAGCUAUCCAUCAUCUAUCAAUCAAUCACUGUAUCUUGCAAUGGAGGAAUUAACUGUGAUGUUUUCAAGCGUGUCGCUUCUCUCAUAUUCCUAUUAACAUAUUGGAAACGCUCAGCUAAAUAGAAUAAAGUUUUUAGCCUAAACCUACAGUGAAUGUCUAAUGCUUUGGGCAAGAUAUUGAAGGGGUGGGGGAGAGAUAAUAUGAAUGCUUUCAUAGACACAGCUGGACUUCUUUCCCCCUAAACAUGAGUGAGAAUUCUUUCUAUGCUUCUAGUUGAGAUUGUAGAUAAAUAGAGAAAUCACAUUUGAACAUAGGAAAUGGCUUCUGAUAAAGAAGGCACAUUCCUGUCUCUCUCACACACACAUGCACGCAUGCACGCACACACGGACCUCCCACCCACCCAUCAGAAGCGUAUCAGAGGCCUCUGCCUCCCGCCAGGAUUCCCGGCUGCAGGACACAGCCCAGCAGGAGAAGCUUUUCCCUCCAUUCUUUCAAGGGUGAGUGGACACAUAGGCUGGUGUCGCGUGGUUUGCUUGGUCAAGUGAGGUCCAGUUCCUGGAGGUGGGUUUCUUUCAACAUCUGAGAACAGUCACAUGGCCCAUAGUGCAGAGCCUUCAGAGAGGAAAGGCACUGGUUCCAAGCAUUUCAGUUUAGUUUCAUUCAAAUGCAGAAACAUGGAAACACAGAUUAGACUCGUAUGAUCAAGUUGUACUCGAGCAAAGAACACAAUACCAAAUGUUUGAUUUCUUAAGAGUGUCCUGAAAGAGUCUCACAUACACUCAAAGUUAGUUACCAAGUUCUUUAUGAGAUCUUUUCUAAGAUUAUGAAUAUAAUAUUUGACUUGUGUAAAGCAUCAUGUCAUUGACUAAAGAAAAUAUGCAUAUAUAUAAUAUAUAUAUAUAUACAAAGUUGUAUAAUAUUUAAAAUAUUUCUGAGUGGUAUGGCUUGAAAAGAUAUUACAGUAACCGAUUAUCAUUGUAUGGGAAGAUGCUUUAUAAAACAAGAUUCUUCAAUAUAGGAUAUUCUCAGUGGCGUUAUUUCUUGACUUCUAUUUAUCAGUAAUAAACUUGGUAGAAAAUGUUAAAAUAAUGUCAGAGGUUAUUUAAUGGGAAAUAUGUAUGUUUCUUUCCAUUAUAAGAAACUAUAUAUCUUAUAAUAGGACAUUUUUCUCACCUCACCUAAAAAUAACACAGAAUGUCUUAUUUCAUAUAAAUAUUAGUUUUAAAAGGUUUUAGUCAUAUAUCUUGUAUCCUAUUUAAUUUGCGUUCUUUUUACACUUAGAAUGAACACAGACCAAUUCUAACAAAAACAUAAUAAACACAGAAGCGACACGUGGGCUAAGUUCAGGUAUGAGACAUUUGCGCCUUCUGUCCGCAGUGUUCUCAGGAACGUGUCACUGUGGAUGCAGACAUGGUUUUAAUGGGAAAGAGGUAGAAAUUUGCCCAGAAAAUUGUAUGUCAUAAGGCAUCAUCCUGGAGACAAGCCCUUGAACUUGGGCUCUACAUUAUAUAAAGACAAUCACUGAAGGUGAAGGAGAAAUUGCAGUAGAAGGAGGACAGGUGCUUGGAGAAGUUCCUGUUCUGCCCCAAGGGUGUUGGGGAGGCCAGGAGGAGCUCUGCUUCCUGCAGGGCUGUGUGUUAUCAGAGUAGCCCCUGGUGGCCUCAGAAUGAUCCCCUAGAGAGUGGAAAUCGGCAUGUACAGUUUGCACAGAGGCAAGCAUGCCAUAUCCCAAGUUUAAAUACACCAGUGUGCACCUUUGUAUGAUGAUUCUGACAUCAUGAAUGCAGCAGGUCUCAUCGUGAUGGGAUCUAUUUCAUAAAAAACAUUUUGAGGACUAGAGAGAACCAUUUCCUAUCACAGUCUUUUUUUUUUUUUAAGACAGAAUCUCGCUCUGUUACCCAGGCUGGAGUGAAGUGGCCCAAUCUCGGCUUACCACAACCUCUGCCUCCCAGGUUCAAGCGAUUCUCCUGCCUCAGCCUCCCAAGUAGCUGAGAUUACAGGUGUGUGCCACCAUGCCUAGCCAAUAUUUGUAUUUUUAGUACAGACAGGCUGGUCUCGAACUCCUGAGCUUCAGUGAUCUGCCUUCCUCGGCCUCCCAAAGUUCUGAGAUUUAUAGGUGUGAGCCACUGCGCCCGGCCCUCACAGUCAAUUUCUUAUGAGGAUUUUUCUUCUAAAUAUCCCAAAGAAGCCAUGUGGGGCACAGCCCUGGGGUGGUGGGCAAAUCAAGAGUCAAACUCUGAAUGUUUCCUAUCCCAGGGAGAGGGAGAAAAGAAUCUAAUCCAGAGAGAAAUUGGAAGGCUUAGUAUAAGAAGUCAUGCCAGAUUAUCAGCUCCUAUUUUGGGCCAGGCCUUUGAGGGGCAGCGUCCUGAGCCGUGAGGAGCAGGUGUCAGGCUAGGGCCUGGUGGAGACAUCAGGAAUCCUUACACAGUUCCAGGGAAGAGGGAAGAAAACCCACUGAGGACUGAGGAGGUUGGUCAUGCCAAGUGGAGGUGAGGAGUGGGGCUACAGGAGGCUGAUUUCCUGCUGUUCAGCAAGGAAGUCUUGGGUUGUUUGCCACUCACGUAUUUUACGUUUCUAACUAAGACACAGGACUUCAGGAAUAAGAUUGCCCUGGAAUGUCUCCAUCAGUGGCUCUCUCCUGGGGUUGACUUGGCUUCCCACAUCCCACCCGAGCAGGGGACAUGUGGCAAUGCCUGGAGGUAAGUUUGCUUGUCACAAGUGACAGAUAUGCACCUACCAUCUAGUGGGUGAGGGCCAGGGGUGCUGUUGAACACACUGUGUACAGGACGGUCUCCUACCACAAAGAACUGUUUCCGUCAGAAUGUCAACGUGGCUGAGGCUGGGAACACACACUCUAACUCUUUGGAAGGUGCUAUGGACUGAAUAUUUGUGUUCCUUCAAAAUUCAUGUCGAAAUCCUGACCUCUUAAGUAUUAGGAGAUGCCAUCUUUGGGAAGUGAUGAGGUCAUAAGGAUGGAGUCCUUAAGGAUGGGAUUAGGGCCCUUAGAAAAAAUGGCCAGAGAGAGCUCCCUCACCUCUUUCACCGGGUGAGGACCCAAGGAGAAGGCACCAUCAACGAGCCAGGAAACAGGCUCCCACCAGACACCGAUUCUGCCAGCAUCGUGAUCUUGGACUUUCAGCCUCCAGAACUGUGAGAAAUGAAUACUUGUUUAAGCCAUGUGUAUUGUUACAGC
rnacentral:lncRNA from 10 species